ACAACAUCAAGAGCAGGAAAAUGGACUCAUUAGGGAGGCAGGCAGUCAUUACCACUCACACUGUACUUCCAGGGAGACACCGAUUAUGAGAAGAGAAACUCAGCGCUGGGGAAGAAGAGAUAUUUGUCCUUCACCUCAUCUCUAGAGGAGAGAAGAAUUGAGAUGAUUAAAAACAAAUGGAGAUAAGAAUAUAAGUAAAGCUGAGGGUGGAGAGAGGAGGAGCUUUUGAAGCUUCUAAAUGUUUGUGUGGAAGAUUUCUUGCCCUUUUUGGAGGUUUAAGUUCUUCUACCAGCAUUCAGUAGAAGUUCUUUUGAAUCGUUCUGCAUGUAGAUGUGGUUUUUGAUGUGUUUGUGGGAGAAGUCACACAAAAAGAAGUGUUAAGGAUUGCCCUUUGAGACACUGAAGGCUAAAGGACUGCCUGAAGUUACAUUUAGAGACUGAAAUCACUGCACCUUAAAAACAAAAGAUUGAGCUGCACUGCAUUCCUGUCAAGAACUGGAGAUGGUUGGACUAAAUCAAGGUCAAGUGAGAAGAAAGUAUGUGGAGAGGGCCUGGAGUUGGAGAAUGCUGGUAGCUGGUGGUAGUAAAGUUAGCAGGAUUGGGUUAUUUGAGGAGAACCUAUGACUGUACUGAAUGCUGGCUUUACCAGUGAGUCCCAAAUAAGCUUUUCUAUCUCCACUAAAUAAAAUGUAAUGUAGGAAUCACUUAGAAAAUUAAGAUUUUUUUUUCUAUUGUUAACUAGUAAAUUCUUGUGUAAUCUCUCUCUAUUUUGUGGGUCAGCUCUGUUUUCUUAAACACAACUAUUUCAGCUAUAUUAUUAACAUUCUCAAAGGAAAUUCUACCAGACUACCAAGUCCAAUUUGCUCUAGCUGGGACUUAUUUACACUUGUCGUCUAAGGCAGAUUCAGAUAAUAUAUGUCUUUUGGUUCAGAAACAGUAAAUUUUAGUUGUAAGUGAUAAGCUUUAACUCUGAAAGUUUCAAAUGCCAUUCUGUGCUAAUUUCUAUGCUAUGUACAUUAUCUCCUUUAAUUUUCACACACACACAAAACUGUUGUGAAAGAUAGCAGAAUUGAGCCUCAAAGAAUCUAAUUAAUUUGACGGAGGGCAUACACCUGAUAGGUGGCCAAGCUAAUAUUCAAACUUCAGCCUUCAGCCAUUCUGACUCAAAGUCUUCCUCUCAUCAUUUUUUUUUUUGGCUGGACCUGCAGCCUCCGGAAGUUCCCUGGUAAGGGACUGAACCCUCACCACAGCAGUGACCCAAGUCACUGCAGUGAUAAUGCCACAUCCUUAGCCUGCUGUGCCACCAGAGAACUCCUCCUCUCAAUUUUUAAAUCACUAUCUCAUUCUGCUUCUAAAGGUGUAGAAGAUUCUGAAUUACCUUCUAAGAGUUUAUGCAGUUUUAAUAAGGGAGAAGGAGGCUGCCAUAACAUAUGGUUCAGUGGUGCUAGUUUUUAUCAUCUAAAACAUGCCCAACUCAACCUAGUUGCCUCUUUGCCUCCCAGUACAGCUUAUUAGCCUGCUGACACUAUAAAUGCUAUUUUCCAGUGUUAUUUUGUGAGAUAUGCCUCUCAUUAGAUAUAGGAGUUAGCUUAAUUCUCAACCACAAAGUUACCUUAAUUUUGCUAGAUUAAAAGUAACAUAGAGGAGUUCCUGUCAUGGCUCAGCAGAAAGAAAUCUGACUAGUAUCCAUGAGGAGGCAGGUUCAAUCCUUGCCCUCACUCAGUAGAUUAAGGAUCUGGUGUUGCUGUGAGCUGUGGUAUAGGCCAGUAGCUAUAGCUCUGAUAUGACCCCUAGCCUGGGAACUUCCAUAUGCCCUGGGUGUGGCCUUAAAAAUAAAUAAAUAAACAAUAACAUAAACAUUAUGUGUGACUAGGGAACUAUAAAGUAACAGGAGUGAUUUUCUAUGGGUGCUAGUGGCACUGGUCUCAUUAUUUAGAAUGAAUCCAUAUGGCAAAUAUCUAGAUUCACCACUCAUGAGUUUCAUAAUCUAUUAAAUGGAGAUGUUAAUAGUAGAUACUUCAUAAUAUUGUGGGGAUUAAAUGAGAUAAUAUAUGUAAUGUUCUCAGAUCAGUUACUAGCAUAUAGUAAGCACUCAAUAAAUGGUAAACUUACUAAAUAUAAACAUUACAAAAAUAAAAAAUCAAACAGUACCUGGGAAGCACUUGGUACAUAUCAGGACCUCAAUGUAUAUGUGUUGAAUAAAUUAAUAAUUGUAUCAGUUCUGGCUAGUUGUUAAUGAUUUAUGGUAAAUGUAGUAGUCUGGUAACUGCCUCAUUAUUGAGUUUAACAUAAAAAACAUUUAAUGUCAUUAAGAACUCUAUGCAGUUUUUAGGAACAUUUACUCAUUCUGAAAAAGACUUUUUUUUUUUUUGGAAUUGAGGUAUUACUUCUUUUCCUCAACAUUUUCACCCUUAGUAAUGAAAAGCCUGUACUCUGGCUAGAAUAAUACAUGUAACCACUAAAUUGAUAUAGAUUUUCCACUUCCUUUAAUGGUCAUACAGAUAUGAUUUAUCUUAUGGUUCAAUGAAAAUAGAAGCUAUACAAGUAUGUACAUAGUGAAAGAAGAUAAAUGGGCUGGGAAAAAAAAGUCUGUGUGUGUGUCAUGCUUCCUAUUUGCCCAAGACAACUGAAACAUACUGAAAGUAAGAAUAACAUAUAUUGUCACUGUUGUACCACUUCUGGAGAUACUGCUUACUUUUCUGAUAAUGUCAAGAUAUUGUAGUUUGAGGAUCCUUUUUUCUUAAGAAAUUCCCUUUAAAAUCCUGAAAUGUUUAUCAUUAUGUAUCUGAAUUAUCCUGCUUUGAAUACCAUAGUUUUUAACUAGCAAUCUAAUUCUAAUAAAAACUUUAGAAAGGUCACAAAGGUUUUUCUCUCUCUAGAAUUUUAUCCUACUGGUGAUAUUCCCACUUUACCUUUAGAAACAGUCCACACAUAACUUCUAGAAGCCCUGCCUCAUACUUUUAUGAGUAUUUAUGACAUUGCUCUCACUGUAUUGUAUUAUAGUUUUCUGCUUGGAUUUUUCUUUUUUCGAGGCUGGUGGCUAAAUUGUGCGCUUCUUAAAGACAAGGACUGUGCUUUAUUUAUCUCUUCAUACCCAGUAUUAUUCAGUUAAGAUGGAAUAGGUGCUCAAUAAAUAUAUAUCCAAUAAAUUAAUGAACUUGCAGUCUCACACACACACACACACACGCACAUCAGGGCAUGAAUAAAAUAUCCCAUAUCUUUGCAUGUUCCUCAAAUGAUUUACAUUGCUUAAUGAACAGAUUGCUAUGUUUCUAAGUGUUCUAGUCACUUUGAGGGAAGUUUUCUAAUCUUUGAAAUAAAACAUCUUUUU
ensembl:lncRNA